rnacentral:rRNA from 1 species
UAGGGAAUCUUCGGCAAUGGGGGGCAACCCUGACCGAGCAACGCCGCGUGAGUGAAGAAGGUUUUCGGAUCGUAAAGCUCUGUUGUAAGAGAAGAACGUGUGUGAGAGUGGAAAGUUCACACAGUGACGGUAACUUACCAGAAAGGGACGGCUAACUACGUGCCAA